UACGAAGGGGGCUAGCGUUGCUCGGAAUCACUGGGCUUAAAGGGCGCGUAGGCGGGCUAUCAAGUCCGGGGUGAAAUCCUCCAGCUUAACUGGAGAACGGCCUCGGAUACUGAUGGCCUCGAGGGGGAUAGGGGCACACGGAACUGUGGGUGGAGCGGUGAAAUGCGUUGAUAUCCAUAGGAACUCCGGUGGCGAAAGCGGUGUGCUGGAUCCCUUCUGACGCUGAGGCGCGAAAGCCAGGGGAGCAAACGGG
rnacentral:rRNA from 1 species